GGGGGGGGGGGUGUGGUGUGGUUGGUGGGGUGUGUGUGGGUGAGGGAGGGGGAAUGGUGGGGUUUGAGGGGGAAACCGUUACGACCCAAGGGAUUUCUUUUCUAACUUAUUUUAAUCUUUAAAUGACAUGUCAUGCAACCAGGGAUUUACUCCCCCAUCAAAUACAACCACGAUCCAAACAAGAACAUCAAAUCUCACCAGUUCUCCUAGAUGAAGAGGGAAUCAUUCGAUACUGGCAGAAUGGACGAUCCAACCCAAGCAAGAGUUUACAAAAUACUAACGCAAACAAAACUUACAGU
rnacentral:misc_RNA from 1 species